rnacentral:rRNA from 1 species
GAUGAACGCUGGCGGCGUGCCUAACACAUGCAAGUCGAACGGAGUCCGGCCUUUAAGACCUUCGGGUCGAGGAGGGGAAGUCUGAGUGGCGGACGGGUGAGUAACACGUGGGCAACCUGGCUCAUAGAGGGGGAGAACAUAGAGAAAUUUCUGCUAAUACCGCAUAAGCACACCCUGCCGCAUGGCAGAGGGUGAAAAGAGAAUCUCUAUGAGAUGGACCCGCGUCGGAUUGGCCAGUUGGCAGGGUAAGAGCCUACCAAAGCGACGAUCAGUACCCGAUCUGAGAGGAUGAACGGACACAUUGGGACUGAGACACGGCCGAAACUCCUACGGGAGGGAGCAGUGGGGGAUAUUGCACAAUGGGGGGAACCAUGAUGCAGCGACGCCGCGUGAGUGAAGAAGUAUUUCGGUAUGUAAAGCUCUAUCAGCAGGGAAGAUAAUGACAGUACCUGAAGAAGAAGCCCCGGCUAACUACGUG